AUCUUUAUGCAGGGGCAUUACGUGUAUCAGUGAGGAUUCGUCCGAGAUCAUGUUUUUGCUAGUUGAAAACUAACCUGACAACUCUUUGAUAUGUGGUAGCCCCGAGUUACUGAUGUCAAGGGAAUUUUUGGACACCUUUUUUCUUUGAUUAUUCUUUGAAUAUCAAACUCUUCUUUUACCUUGAAUAUUGUGAGG
rnacentral:snRNA from 1 species